GGGUCCCUGAGAGGUGACAAGUCCUUCUUGGCUCUGGGCAGUGAUCCCCAUUGUCCACUCGGAGAGAGGCUCAGGUCCCCAGGCCUCACGUUCAGUUCAGGGAAGGCCCUGGCUACCCGCACCCGCUGUGACAUCACUUCAUGUUUUAUGAAGCUGAUACAGUCUCUGUCUUCACUCUGUCUUACCCAAGUCCCCUCCCCACCAGGAACAAGGAAGAGAAAACAGAAGGGGGGUGGAGGUGGGAAAAGAAAGUUCUAGUCACUCCUUAGAAGGAAGCAAGCAGGGAGGCCCCACAACCUCCUCUGGGGCCUCACGAAGCCCUGGAGAAGACCCAGCUUCCAGCCCUGUGUCUGCCUCUCACUGACCUCACUCCAUGGCCUCCCUCCUCAUGAGGGCACAAAGCCAAGCCUGAGAGGCAUCUCCCAUGAUGACGAUGGCCUUGUCUCUCCUUUCCUGGCAUCUCUGCCACACCUCUGCCCCCCCCCCCCCCACCCCCCGAGUUCAGAGCCCCCUCCCGGAAUCCUCUCCUCGCUCCUGGGAUUCUCCGGCAGCAUUCGCCCAUUAGAGACCCUCAGGGGACCCUGGCAUUAAAGGGCCCUGUGGCCUCGGGCAGGACCCUUUCCCUCUGGGGGCCCCGUGUGUCUGUGCCUCCUCUGGUAAGAUUUCCAGGCAAAUGGUGCAAAAUUCCAGGCCUCAAAAGGCCCUCAUUGCAAACCGGAGUUUGUAAGCGGUCUACACUGCACGGAGCUCUUUUACCCCUAGACAAGCUGACUCCCUACAGUCAUCAGAUAUCGGGGCGGGGCCCGGGCGUUGCCAUCGACCCCCGAGUGGAGUUAACCUCGGUCUCUUCCUGUGCUUCAGCUGCUGAUGCCGAGGCGGUUUACGGAGCAGGCAGCUGUCACCUCGGAGGGGUGGGAGCUCAGAGCAGAGUGAGGCCUUUUUGGAAUACAAGAAUACAAGAGCUUGAAACGAGCUUGGGACUAUCACCAAUUUUGAUGGGAGGCAAAACAGGACAAUGUGCCCUGGCAGAGGACUAACGUGACAGAGCAGGGAGGCCCAGGGUUUGAAUCCAAAACCCCAAGCCCGAGUCCACGUUUGUGGCCCACAGACAGGGGCCCAGAAGAGAAGCCAGUGUGGUUCAACCUUCACGUGACCAUUUAAGCCUGAACCAGGAAGAGGAACAGCUAUACAUGUACACAGGCUAGAAUUUGAAUACCUAAUUCGAGGAGGCAUAGAAAUUGGCAGUUAUUCAAAUGAGUGCAUUUGCAUAUAUAGGGUUUAAGGCUACAUGAUAAUUCCUUAAUAUUUUUCCCAUAGUGCAGAGUAAGGACUUUAGAUCUUUCUCCUUCCUUAGAUCUUUCUCCUUCUUUUAGGAGGGGAUUGCUAAGACAGCUGGGGGGAGCCCGGGCUCUGGGUGUGCCAGGAUUUGGGGGUGUGGGGCGAGCACCCAAGGGGCUGCCGAGAAGCCCUUUUCUACAGUUGAGGAGGUGGUACUGACCUGUGGGCAUUUGACCAUGACCUCCUGACUCAGCAGUGCCAGCCGGGGGCACGUCCUCUGCCUCUUAGGGGUUGCAGAGGCUCCAGGACGGCUUGUCUAGGUCCUAGUAGAGUGGGGUGCUCCAAGUGUGACCCCCCGACCGGCGGCAGCAGCCCGCGGAAGCAUGUGAGGCAUGCAGGUUCUCAGGCCCACCCCAGAUCUAUUAGGCGGGAGAUGCUCCGAAGGUGGAACCCGAGCCACAGUCUGUUUUAACGGGAUCCCGGUGCGCGCUCCAGUGGGAGAACCCUUACCCCGAAGCGUCCCUUCCUUCGGGAAUCUGUUUCACACACAUGGGGCUCAAGGUCACAUGGUCAUUUUGGAUUUAUUUCCCAAGGCCACGCCAAAUUCUCAUCCGACAGCUUCCGGGGAUGGUUUUGACUUCCUGGGUUCUCUUCAGGAGCGGGGAU